rnacentral:lncRNA from 1 species
AUCUGCUCCAUGGCAGAGAACAAGAAAACAUACAUGAUACCGUAACUCCAUACAACUGGCAAAGCAUAUGGUAUAGAAAAGUGGGUAACAACCUCACCACCCAAUAAGAAUAAAGGAAAAAAAAAAAAAGAGGGAAGGAAAAAACAUACAUAGCUUCCUACAGAUUAGAGGGAAGGAAAAAACAUACAUAGCUUCCAAAAAAAAAAAAGAGGGAAGGAAAAAACAUACAUAGCUUCCUACAGAUUUGGAACUCAAAUAAAACCUGCAAAGGCAGGAAAUAGGUAUAUUACCACAUAAACUCUAAUUAUUACUGAUAGUACAUGAGCUGUUGGGCAGCAGCAACGUUCUGAAACCCACCAUCGUAUAUUGCCU